rnacentral:rRNA from 1 species
AUUGAACGCUGGCGGCAGGCCUAACACAUGCAAGUCGAGCGGAUGAGAAGAGCUUGCUCUUCGAUUCAGCGGCGGACGGGUGAGUAAUGCCUAGGAAUCUGCCUGGUAGUGGGGGACAACGUUUCGAAAGGAACGCUAAUACCGCAUACGUCCUACGGGAGAAAGCAGGGGACCUUCGGGCCUUGCGCUAUCAGAUGAGCCUAGGUCGGAUUAGCUAGUUGGUGGGGUAAAGGCUCACCAAGGCGACGAUCCGUAACUGGUCUGAGAGGAUGAUCAGUCACACUGGAACUGAGACACGGUCCAGACUCCUACGGGAGGCAGCAGUGGGGAAUAUUGGACAAAGGGCGAAAGCCUGAUCCAGCCAUGCCGCGUGUGUGAAGAAGGUCUUCGGAUUGUAAAGCACUUUAAGUUGGGAGGAAGGGCAUUAACCUAAUACGUUAGUGUUUUGACGUUACCGACAGAAUAAGCACCGGCUAACUCUGUG